AUUGAACGCUGGCGGCAGGCCUAACACAUGCAAGUCGAACGAGUGGCGGACGGGUGCGUAAUGUCUGGGAACAUGCCCGAUAGCUGGGGAUAACUACUGGAAACGGUAGCUAAUACCGCGUACCAUCCGAUGUCCCCAGAUGGGAUUAGCUUGUUGGGGAGGUAACGGCUCACCUAGGCGACGAUCCCUAGCUGGUCUGAGAGGAUGAUCCGCCACACUGGAACUGAGACACGGCCCAGACUCCUACGGGAGGCAGCAGUGGGGAAUAUUGGACAAUGGGCGCAAGCCUGAUGCAGCCAUGCCGCGUGUAUGAAGAAGGCUUUCGGGUUGUAAAGUACUUUCAGUAGGGAGGCGUUACCCACAGAAGAAGCACCGGCUAACUCCGUGCCAGCAGCCGCGGUAAUAC
rnacentral:rRNA from 1 species